CUAUCUUUGCCGCAAUCUGGUGCGCUGUAAAAAGCACUUAAAAGGGAAUCCGGUGAAAAUCCGGAACAGACCCGCUGCUGUAAGCUCCACAUCAAAGUUUUUGAAGAGUAUAUCCACUGUUUUUUUUAAUGGGAAGGAUUUCAAAAACGGAGUAAGUCAGAAGACCUGCCGGAGGAUGAACGUUUGAU
rnacentral:ncRNA from 1 species